CGGAGAAUGUUAUCACGGGAGACACACGGCGGGUGCUAACGUCCGUCGUGAAGAGGGAAACAACCCAGACCGCCAGCUAAGGUCCCAAAGUCAUGGUUAAGUGGGAAACGAUGUGGGAAGGCCCAGACAGCCAGGAUGUUGGCUUAGAAGCAGCCAUCAUUUAAAGAAAGCGUAAUAGCUCACUGGUCGAGUCGGCCUGCGCGGAAGAUGUAACGGGGCUAAACCAUGCACCGAAGCUGCGGCAGCGACGCUUAUGCGUUGUUGGGUAGGGGAGCGUUCUGUAAGCCUGCGAAGGUGUGCUGUGAGGCAUGCUGGAGGUAUCAGAAGUGCGAAUGCUGACAUAAGUAACGAUAAAGCGGGUGAAAAGCCCGCUCGCCGGAAGACCAAGGGUUCCUGUCCAACGUUAAUCGGGGCAGGGUGAGUCGACCCCUAAGGCGAGGCCGAAAGGCGUAGUCGAUGGGAAACAGGUUAAUAUUCCUGUACUUGGUGUUACUGCGAAGGGGGGACGGAGAAGGCUAUGUUGGCCGGGCGACGGUUGUCCCGGUUUAAGCGUGUAGGCUGGUUUUCCAGGCAAAUCCGGAAAAUCAAGGCUGAGGCGUGAUGACGAGGCACUACGGUGCUGAAGCAACAAAUGCCCUGCUUCCAGGAAAAGCCUCUAAGCAUCAGGUAACAUCAAAUCGUACCCCAAACCGACACAGGUGGUCAGGUAGAGAAUACCAAGGCGCUUGAGAGAACUCGGGUGAAGGAACUAGGCAAAAUGGUGCCGUAACUUCGGGAGAAGGCACGCUGAUAUGUAGGUGAAGUCCCUUGCGGAUGGAGCUGAAAUCAGUCGAAGAUACCAGCUGGCUGCAACUGUUUAUUAAAAACACAGCACUGUGCAAACACGAAAGUGGACGUAUACGGUGUGACGCCUGCCCGGUGCCGGAAGGUUAAUUGAUGGGGUCAGCGCAAGCGAAGCUCUUGAUCGAAGCCCCGGUAAACGGCGGCCGUAACUAUAACGGUCCUAAGGUAGCGAAAUUCCUUGUCGGGUAAGUUCCGACCUGCACGAAUGGCGUAAUGAUGGCCAGGCUGUCUCCACCCGAGACUCAGUGAAAUUGAACUCGCUGUGAAGAUGCAGUGUACCCGCGGCAAGACGGAAAGACCCCGUGAACCUUUACUAUAGCUUGACACUGAACAUUGAGCCUUGAUGUGUAGGAUAGGUGGGAGGCUUUGAAGUGUGGACGCCAGUCUGCAUGGAGCCGGCCUUGAAAUACCACCCUUUAAUGUUUGAUGUUCUAACGUGGACCCGUGAUCCGGGUUGCGGACAGUGUCUGGUGGGUAGUUUGACUGGGGCGGUCUCCUCCUAAAGAGUAACGGAGGAGCACGAAGGUUGGCUAAUCCUGGUCGGACAUCAGGAGGUUAGUGCAAUGGCAUAAGCCAGCUUGACUGCGAGCGUGACGGCGCGAGCAGGUGCGAAAGCAGGUCAUAGUGAUCCGGUGGUUCUGAAUGGAAGGGCCAUCGCUCAACGGAUAAAAGGUACUCCGGGGAUAACAGGCUGAUACCGCCCAAGAGUUCAUAUCGACGGCGGUGUUUGGCACCUCGAUGUCGGCUCAUCACAUCCUGGGGCUGAAGUAGGUCCCAAGGGUAUGGCUGUUCGCCAUUUAAAGUGGUACGCGAGCUGGGUUUAGAACGUCGUGAGACAGUUCGGUCCCUAUCUGCCGUGGGCGCUGGAGAACUGAGGGGGGCUGCUCCUAGUACGAGAGGACCGGAGUGGACGCAUCACUGGUGUUCGGGUUGUCAUGCCAAUGGCACUGCCCGGUAGCUAAAUGCGGAAGAGAUAAGUGCUGAAAGCAUCUAAGCACGAAACUUGCCCCGAGAUGAGUUCUCCCUGACCCUUUAAGGGUCCUGAAGGAACGUUGAAGACGACGACGUUGAUAGGCCGGGUGUGUAAGCGCAGCGAUGCGUUGAGCUAACCGGUACUAAUGAACCGUGAGG
rnacentral:rRNA from 1 species